GCGGGCCCGGCGCGGCGCGCGCGGCGGCUGCAGGGGGACGUGAGGCCCGUGAGGUCGAUGCCACGGAUGCGAGGGGCUCACGGCAUCAGCCGGCUCCCGGCUUGUCUGGAUGCUCUGAUUAGCAAGACCUACUGGAAUAAGAGACUGGAAGUGAGAGGAAGAAUGACAAAUCAGAUGCUUUCUCUCACUGGAACACCCGAGCCAGACAUUUCUCCAGCGGCGAUGUUGUUUGGGCCACGGCUGCUACCUGCUCGCCUCUUCUGAAAAGAAAUAUUUGCAAAUGCGGCUCCUCCUCGCUGUCCGAGUUGUUCAUGAAGGCGAUCAUGGCCGCUGCCCAAGGGGGCGCUCAGGAGGGCACAGCCAGCACUGCCCGAGCCUGUGGGGACAAGCACAGCACAGGGGGAGAGAACAGUGAACACCACACU